rnacentral:lncRNA from 1 species
ACCCACUACAUUAAAAUUCCCAACGGCUCCUGCAGUUUAUUAUUAUGGCUAGGGCUACUAUACUCUUAUGAGUAUAGAACUCUUUAUACUCAUAAGUUCUCAAUCGUUAGAUGAAGAGAUGUGCGUUUAGAAUGAUAGUAAUUUCCGAUUAGAAUGAUAGUAAUCCUCUAUAGUUGAGUGGAUGGUUGGUUAAAAAGUAUGAUCUAAUAGAUGAAAAUGAUCAACGAGGUAGAUCUAACGAUCAAAAACUCAUGAGUAUAAAGAGAUUUAUACUCGGUCGGACUCUUAUUAUUAUUAUUAUUAUUGUUGUUGUUGUUGUUGUUGU